rnacentral:lncRNA from 1 species
GCUUGCAUAUUUAUAAACAGUCCAGUAACCUUGUUUUACUAUUUUAUGUAGAUAGUGCAACCAUGUAAUUAAUUCAAAAUGUACAUGAAUGUCGAAAAAUCAGAAAAAUGUACAACAUACAAGCCUUUCACCCAAAAAGAAGAUAAUAAGGAAGGGAAGAAAAGAAGCAGCAGCAUCUAUGUACACAGCUCGUUUAUCCUUUCUGGUGCUUCCGUAGGCGCUCAAACUCUUUCAAUUUCGUGUUUAGAAGUGUAUGCUCCUGCUGCAUUUUGCCGAGCAGUGUUUCGACCAUAACCAUCUCCUCUUUGAGAUGACUAAUCUGUUUAUCCAGAAAGGCUAGUGUGUCUAUACCCCUAUCUCCCAGUCGAUACAUGCUACCUGUGCAGUCCCCUUGAGGUAUCACGUGGACGUGCUGAGGUCUACCUAAUAACACGAGUAUGCUCAUCUGCAAAUGAAGUUUGAUUACACCAAAAGAUUAGACAGCAAAAUUUAUGUUUCACCUCAGUUUGCAAGAGAAGUUCUGACAGCAAUAUUGACUGAUCGAUCUGUUCUGAGGACCACCAUAUGUGAAAACAGAUUAAGUCAUGCACACUAGAAGAUCAAUGCAUCACAUAUACAAAGUAACAAACAAAUUAGAACAAAAUUGACAGAGUCAAACAAAAGCCAGGCUGGGCUGAAACUCGCAAAUUAGUUGGUUGCAGGGGAGGGGGUAAUGUUGACUUGUUUUCCAGAAGGCAUAUAAUGAAAAAGAGUAAUGCCAGGAUCAGAUGAUGUACAUCUCAUAGGAGAGACAGAUAAAUACAAAGCAUGUUCCACAUGCAUCAAAACGAAGGGAACAAGGACAGCAUUUUCCUACAUUUAAACAAGAUGGAAAGAGCAAACAUACAAGAAUAUCAGCUCGUAUAGCCCUAACCUACUUCUACCACCGAAAGUCAGCCAACUCUUGUAACAUGCAGCUAAUUACAUUCCCUCUCUUGUCACCAUUUUAUUAACCCGGUUUCUACCUUAAUUCGUCAGUACUAUGAUUUCAAUCAUAAUUUGUUCCAACUUUUUCCCCUUCUAUUCAAACAAAUAUGAAUAUAUGCUACUUUUUAUUACUUCAAAAUUGAUCUUUCCAACAAAUUUGUACACUUCCUCACACUUCAAAUUAUUAUUUUGAUCUCCUCAAAUAAACCAAUACAAUAAGCCAUUCAAACCUUGAAGGUCAACCCAAGUCAAUUAAAAUGGUAAGGAGGGAGUGUUUGCAUCGCUAUCUUGGACAUCGAAAGGUGAAUUCUACUGUACCAAGAAUAGUUUACAGAGAGUAUCACGACACUAACCCCAAAAUCAGGGAAAAAGGGUCAGACCAAAAACAAGCGUACAAUCUGCAGUUGACAAAUUCUCCAGUAACUAUUUGUUGACCCUAACAACCCUAACGAUUAACAGAAAAAAGCAUGAAAAUCAGCAACUGCGUGAUCACAUGACCAAAGCAGUUUACUUUCCCUUGCUCACAACAUCAUAUGAGGAACAGUUUGUGGUAGCAAAUUAGUUAAACGUAAUCUCAGAUAGAAGGCGCAAAUUGAGAAACAUACCUGCAUUAAGAGCAGGAUCACAGCAAUGGUGAUCACUAUAAGAAUGGAAACCUGGCUUUGAGAUUUGAAAGAUGAUGAACACUUAACCAUGAAAUUUCUACACAAGGAAGUAACAGAGACGGUACUGCUACAACUACCCCGCAGGGAAUCAGCAGCUAGCUGGUUGAGUGGCAGUGUUUGUGACCUAACUUCAUCACUUGCCCCGUCUAAUAUUUCCACAUGUUCAGAACUUUCUUUCUGCUGAGCACUUGUUACCACAUUAGCAGCAUGACCACCGGC